UACGAAGGGGGCUAGCGCUGUUCGGAAUCACUGGGCGUAAAGCGCACGCAGGCGGAUUGAUAAGUCGGGGGUGAAAUCCCGGGGCUCAACCUCGGAAUUGCCUUCGAUACUGUCUGUCUUGAGUCCGGGAGAGGUGAGUGGAAUUCCUAGUGUAGAGGUGAAAUUCGUAGAUAUUAGGAAGAACACCAGUGGCGAAGGCGGCUCACUGGCCCGGUACUGACGCUCAUGUGCGAAAGCGUGGGGAGCAAACAGG
rnacentral:rRNA from 1 species